AUGCCUACCUUCUCGUCACCUUCCUCAGAUAGCAGCUGCAAGCAAACAAUGCGAAUAUAUACAUGUACUUCGCGUAUUCGUGUGGUGGUUUAUCUGCGCCUACGCGCGAGGGAGAGUAGAAGCUCCGACCUUGCCAAUGGCAAUGCCGUGGGAGAUGGUGGUGUGCAUAGCGGGCAACGUGUGGGUGCUGCUCGCCGGCUGGAUCUCCGUCUGCUUCCUGGCCGCGGACGAGGCCGCCCGCCUCCUCCGGUCGGCUACCGAUUGAUCAUUGAUGAUCAGGAUAACCAGAGGAAAUGUUGGUUAAAUACAAAGUAUGUCUGGAGCAUGGUGUUAUUAUGUCAGAGAAACUGUCAAGUAUCUUCUCAACGAGUUGGAGGGAGGAAAAUUGGUGGAGCAAUUCAUGGUGCUGCUACUCUAUAA
rnacentral:rRNA from 1 species